rnacentral:lncRNA from 1 species
ACCGCCAGUCACCACCCACCACUCACCACAUCGCUACGCCGCUCACCAGCUCACCACUCACCAGCUCACACUCUCAUCCUCACUCAACACACACAAAAGAGGAAAAAAAAUCAGAAAAGUGGAGAACGGGAAGAAGAAGAGAAGAAGAGAGGAGAGGGAAAGGAAGGAGAGGACGACGCCGGCUAGGGCUCCGCCGCGCGGACCAUCGUCGUUGCGUGCGCUGACCGUCGCCUCAGCAUCGCCAUCUCGUUCACUCACCAUCGCCGCUCAGCAUCAUCAUCGCGUGUGCUCACUGUCGCUGCUCAGCAUCGUCGUCGUCGCUCAGCAUCGUCAUCGCCG